AGUGAACGCUGGCGGCGUGCCUAACACAUGCAAGUCGUGCGCGAAAGGGAGCAAUCCUGAGUAAAGCGGCGAACGGGUGAGUAACACGUGGUUAACCUGCCUGGUUGUGGGGGAUACCCCGGGGAAACUCGGGACAAUACCGCAUGAUGUCUCCUGGGCGGCGGCUCGGGAGAGCAAAGCUGGGGAUCGCAAGACCUAGCGCAAUCAGAGGGGACCGCGGCCGAUUAGCUUGUUGGCGGGGUAACGGCCCACCAAGGCGACGAUCGGUAGCCGGCCUGAGAGGGGGAUCGGCCACACCGGAACUGAGACACGGUCCGGACUCCUACGGGAGGAAGCAGUGGGGAAUUUUGCGCAAUGGGCGAAAGCCUGAAGCAGCAACGCCGCGUGGAGGAUGAAGGUUCUCUGAAUCGUAAACUCCUGUCGGCCGGGAAGAAUGGACGGGGCGCUAAUCAGCCCCGUCUUGACUGUACCGGCAAAGGAAGCCCCGGCUAACUCCGUGCCAGCAGCCGCCGUAAUAC
rnacentral:rRNA from 1 species